AAACAAAGGGCAUAAUUCUAUUCAUAAAUAUUAAAACCCAAAACAAAAGUCGAACACCAAAGAGGCACUGACUUGUGGCAAUAAUAAAUGGCAGAGCACAAGAAAUGAACAAAAUUCAAUCUCUUCUACAACUAGCAAUGGAUCAUCCAGAUCCAAAUUGGGUUAUCAUGGUUCCAUAUAACUUUUCCAUAAAGACACCAUUGGCACGAAAGGAGUAAUUGCAGUGACAUAGCCACUAGAGUCUAUGACCAUGGUUACAUUACAGAUAAGUCAGCUUGCUGUACCAGAAAUCUAGUUCAAGAUUCUGCUCUAUUUCAUUCACAGAUCUGUACGAAAUAGAGCCAUCUCAUCAAUCAAAAAACAAGGGAAAAUGCAAAUAAGAGCAUUCACCACGUCUCUUUAUUUUGUGGAUUAUUUUAUAAUAAAGACCCGCUUAUAUUCAAAGAACGAACUCAGCGAUAGAGGCUUUCAGAUCUCAGAUUCUCUGCAAUCUCAGUUUCCCAUCUAUCUCCAUUCUCAAGAAGCUUCUCCUUGUCAUAAAGAAGUUCCUCAUGAGUUUCAGUUGCAAACUCAAAGUUGGGCCCCUCAACAAUGGCAUCAACAGGGCAGGCUUCUUGGCAGAAUCCACAGUAGAUGCACUUUGUCAUAUCGAUAUCAUACCUAGUUGUUCGACGACUGCCAUCUUCUCGCUCCUCAGCCUCGAUUGUGAUAGCUUGAGCAGGGCAAAUAGCUUCACAAAGUUUACAUGCAAUGCAUCUUUCCUCUCCUGUGGCAUAACGUCGAAGGGCAUGUUCUCCACGAAAACGAGGGCUUAAAGGACCCUUUUCAAAUGGAUAGUUAAUAGUCACUUUCUUUUCAAAGAAGUACUUGAGCGUCAGCAUCAGACCUCGAACCAUUUCAGUCAAAAAGAGAGUAUUUAUGCU
rnacentral:misc_RNA from 1 species